UAUGUGUAGCACACGGUUCAAGAAUAUCAACCCUUCCCGUCUUUAUCACUUACCUCUGUUAUUGGACAUAUCCUCUUCUCUCUCCCCCUUCCCAUCGACAAUGUCGAAUCUUGAUUUCUUCCUUCAAUUACACUGCUAAUAAUCCCUUAUGAAUACCCAUUAUCCCAUUUCAUCUAUGGCUUCUUCCCUAGAUUUUGAUAGAUUUAAGGUAUCCCUUACUUCCAUCUGCAGUUGCCACUCUCAUCAUCUUCCUUCUACAUCAUCUCAAUUUCACCAUUCUUCCACAAGAACCUUAAAUUUAAGCCGACCCAGAUGUUCAAUUUCAAGAAUUGGCUUAUUUCUUGAUGGGUCUAGAGUUACAGAGGUUUCGGGUAUACCAAGAAGCAUCUUCUUGAAACACCCUCGAAUUAUCACAGCUGUUGCUCGUGCUGAACCAGGCCACCUUUUUGAUGAUGAAUCCAAAGAGGAAGUUAACAAAUGCAACAGUACACCGGCGGGGGAAAUUUCCACUUCUGAACUUGAGGAGAAAAAUAGUCAAUUGAAGAAAAGGGUAGUCUUUGGACUUGGCAUAGGUAUUUUAGUCGGAGGUGUGGUAUUGACUGGAGGAUGGGUUUUCACUGUUGCCCUUGCUGCUGCUGUUUUUGUGGGUGCACGAGAGUACUUUGAACUGGUAAGGAGUCGUGGAAUUGCUGAUGGAAUGACUCCUCCUCCUCGAUACGUAUCAAGAGUUUGUUCUGUCAUCUGUGCUCUCAUGCCUGUAGUCACUCUAUAUUUAGGUCACAUUGAUGUUUCUGUUACCUCUGCCGCCUUUGUUGUUGCAAUGGCGCUGCUGAUGCAAAGGCGAAUUCCUCGUUUUGCUCAACUUACCAGUACCAUGUUUGGGCUCUUCUAUUGUGGAUAUCUCCCUUGUUUCUGGGUUAAGUUGAGAUGUGGUUUGGCGGUACCAGCUCUUAACACUAGACUGGGAGCAUCAUGGCCUAUCAUUCUUGGAGGCCCAACUCAGUGGACCGUGGGGCUUGUGGCAACCUUAAUUUCAAUCAGUAGUAUCAUUGCAGCAGAUACAUUUGCUUUUGUUGGAGGCAAGGCUUUUGGUCGGACACCACUUACUAAUAUCAGCCCAAAGAAAACUUGGGAGGGAGCUCUUGCAGGCUUAGGAGGUUGUAUAGCCACUUCUGUGGUGUUAUCACGAACGUUCUGUUGGCCUAUAUCCACAUUAAGUGCGGUAGCUUUUGGAUUUCUGAACUUUUUUGGAUCUCUCUUUGGUGACCUCACUGAGUCGAUGAUCAAACGUGAUGCGGGUGUGAAAGACUCAGGAUCUCUCAUUCCUGGACACGGACUAAAAAUGGCAGGUUAUUAAUGAUUUUCUAAAUGGUGUCAUUGCCAUCAUAUGGACUCAGUAACUGAAACUUUUUGGGUUGGCAUGGCCGAAGAGCAGUUUAAGACCAACAAUUGAUGCCAUAUGUUGAGUUGUCAAACUUGAGCAUAACAAUCCAGGAUGUACAAUCAAUGAGGAAUACUGGACAGGGUGGACAGCUACAUAUUUACGGGUGCAUUGGCGUACUCCUUUGUGAAAAUGUUGUUACCACUUUAUGGAGUUUGAUGAACCUAAUAACAAUUCCCUGCAAAGAAAAAAAGAUACUCCCAUGUCCGUUUUCUUAACUGAAGGAGCAAUCACAAGGUGCCAUAAUCAGUACUGUAGAGCAACAUCCGACAUAUGAGGUUUGAUUGUGAAGGUAAGUUAAGUUCCACACGAAAGGAUUCUGUUUGCAUUGCAACCCAAUGAGUUUCUACUGUGUCAUAUACCUGAUUCCUCGAUUGAGGAAGUGACGUUAGGGUGAAACAACAGGGAAAGAAUCCAGCAAUCCGCGUGAUGUUUUGAGGAUAUCAGUGUUGAGUAGCUCCCCAUUGUGAUAUUAGAAUCAUUGCAUCAUUUUGAUUCUUUAAGUGUACAUUUUGUUUCGUAUUUUAGAAAUGUCCGCAAAAAUUAUUAGGUUUAUAUCUUGAUUUAUUCAGUCUUUGCUUAAUUUGUUGAUAUAAUUACAGGUGCCGCGACAUCUUAAUAAUGGAAAUGGCAAGAUUUUAACAUUUUUCCAAA